rfam:Chlorocebus sabaeus isolate 1994-021 chromosome 6, whole genome shotgun sequence.
GCUGGGCAUGAUGGCGCAUGCCUGUAAUCCCAGCUACUUGGGAGGCUGAGGCAGGAGAAUCGCUUGAACCCGGGAGGCAGAGGUUGUGUAGUUUGCAGUAAGUCGAGAUCGAGCCAUUGCACUCCAGUCUGGGCGACAAGANNNNNNNNNNCCCAGCAAAUUUUGUUUGUUUUGUUUUUGUUUUUGUUUUUGUUUUUUGAGACCGAGUUUCGUUCUUGUCGUCUAGACUGGAGUGCAAUGGCUCGAUCUCGACUUACUGCAAACUACACAACCUCUGCCUCCCGGGUUCAAGCGAUUCUCCUGCCUCAG